rnacentral:rRNA from 1 species
AUUGAACGCUGGCGGCAGGCCUAACACAUGCAAGUCGAACGAGUGGCGGACGGGUGAGUAAUGUCUGGGAAACUGCCUGAUGGAGGGGGAUAACUACUGGAAACGGUAGCUAAUACCGCAUACCCUCGGAUGUGCCCAGAUGGGAUUAGCUAGUAGGUGGGGUAACGGCUCACAUAGGCGACGAUCCCUAGCUGGUCUGAGAGGAUGACCAGCAACACGGGAACGGAGACACGGUCCAGACUCCUACGGGAGGCAGCAGUGGGGAAUAUUUGACAAUGGGCGAAAGCCGGAGGCAGCCAGGCCGCGUGUAUGAAGAAGGCCUUCGGGUUGUAAAGUACUUUCAGCGGGGAGGCGUUACCCGCAGAAGAAGCACCGGCUAACUCCGUGCCAGCAGCCGCGGUAAUUC